UAUAACUGUAAAUGACAGCCAAUUGUUAUUAUUUUUUCUUAUUGAAUGUAUUCUGUUGUUUGACUAUUGCUCAGUUUGUUUCUUUAUAUGGCACUACAGCGCCUCCCUGUGGAUGCUUUUGUAACAGGCGCAACAACUUCAGUUUUUUCCGUUGACGCACGUAUCUGUUUUUUCUUUGCUGGCAUACACAACGCUUCACCACGCUUGGAUGGAGUCUACAGUUAAUUUUUUGUAAAUAGCACCCCUUUGUAAGCGGAAUGAGUUUUCACAGUGCACAAGUACUUUGGAUCGUGACAUCAAAGAGACCAAUAAAGUACGCACUUGUUUGAAGCUCGACGCAUCUCGUUUAUCACCACAAGGGGGCCGCUACAAUAA